ACGUAAAAAAUGUAUACCUAUACGAUUAUAAUAAUAACAGUCCCAACUUAUAUACCUAUUUGUAUUUUGAUCGAACAACUUGAACGAGAUAAAAAAAAAAACUUACUGCGGUAUAAGCAAAUACUUUCGAAAAUUCUUCAAUUCUUGGAAUCGUUUUCCAGUCAUUGACAAAAAUACCGUCGAUAAACGACGACGUUAAGUGUCACACAUGACUUUUCACG